AUGGCAAUGGGGGUAUGAGGCGAGGGGAGACCCCGCACACCCGCACGUCACCCGCGCUAUUCCGCACUGGGUUAACGCGGGGGCUGUGUGAGCAUGCACGGCGUCCGCACCCCGAUUGCCAUCUCGACCUGUCGCCUACCUCAAAAUCACGAGUGAACGUGG